UUCACUUUACUCACUCUCUUACUCUCCUCGACGGUUCACCCCUACCGCCUCUGCAUAAUACCGAGUACGACUACGACUACGUUAUAGAAUGAAGAGAGCUGAGAGAAGUAUGAGUUUGUGUAUUCGUCGCGGCGGACUGUCGGAGGUAUAUUGUUCAACUGCAUCUUCCUAAAUUGCAUUUACGUUUUGUCAAGGUUUAAAAAUUUACCACUAUAAUCCUGACGCGUAUACAACUUUGUAUACCUAUAGCUGUACCUAUACUACUGGAGUUGUGCUAAAACUAAAAUCACUAUCAUUAAAUAUUUGCUCACAAAUUCUCAGACUUAAUCCCUCAGCUGCUAUAAAACGCACCGUUGAAAAAGACGACGCAUCGUCAAGUGAAGGCAGAAGAGGAUGAGGAGGAUAAGGAUGAGGAUGUGGGGAAAAUGGAGAAUGAGAAGGUUGAUGAGGUGCAGGAGGUGGUGGUGAUGGUAAAGGAGGUUGAGGAUGAGAAUGAGGAGGAAGAUCAGUCGUUGACAAAGUGAUGCUACUUCGGACCUUGCUCUUCUUUAUCUCAGUCGAGGAGUUGGUAUAUAUAUAUAUAUAUAUAGUAGUGCAGAAAAAAGAGAGAGAGAGUGUGCGCGCGUUUAAACUCUACCUAUAUAUCCGUACCAAAUUCACCAUAUCAGGAACGACGUCGUCGCGCGCGGCGUUGGAGGGGGCGUCUAGACGCAACGUCACGAGUACGUAGCAGCGGCUUCCCCCUGCAGUCACCGCCACCCAGCCGCAGACAUUGGCGAGUCGAGAGGGAGAAACAGAGCGAGGGAACAAGAGAACUAGAGAGAGUAAGAGAGCUUUAAUGCACGAGUAAGGGAGAGAGGUGAACCGGGCAUCAUUUGGGCAUUUCAGCCCAGGAAGAGAGCUCUGCCGGCGGCUAAAUAUCCAUAUCCACGGUAUAUACACCACUGAAAUAAAAAUAAUUAAAUAUAAUAUUUAAAUAAUGUCGAAAUAAUCACGCAACAUUGUUGCUAAAUUAUCAUCAUUAUGUUGCAAUAAUUUAAUAUAAUAAUUCUCACCGUCUUCAUCUUCAUUCUACUUUAUUUUUUUCUUUCACUGUUUCCAUAUACCUAGAUGAAUAUGUUCUCAAUGCCCACGACGUGUGCUAUUCAGAUAUUAUACAAGGCUAAAUUCGCGGCAAACCUACUAUUAUUAUUUAAACUGCUCCAGAGGUUGACUCACACACUAUAUACGCCGGGACACCAAGUAUUCUUGGACGCACGCGGCCUGUUUUCCUUCAGUCUCACGCAUACCGGCUGCUUUGCCAGAGAGUAGAACAGAGUAAAUAUAAGAAUAAAAUAAAAAUAAAAAUAAAAAAAAACACACAUUGAGACAUUUGCUUUUGCGUAAAUCCUUGGAGUUAAUUUUAUUUUACUUUUUUUUAUUCAACGCUGACCUAUGACAAUUAUCCGAUUUCUAUCCACCUGAACAUACACUCAGUUUCUCUAGUGUGUAAGUUUAAUUGCGUAAUGUCUAGUCUCCGACCGUCAGCCUUGAUAUCAAUCAUGCUUUUAGGCUUGGUUUUAUUUUUUUUUAUUGGCUUAUUUAAAAUGUAUUUAGCGUGUCGAAUAAAAAAAGUAACAUGAUGUAAAAAAUGUGUAUACAGUUGGAUGGCUAGACCACUGUUACCUAUAGCUACCCCUGGUUGGACUAUAACACGAGGGUCAGUCGUAGAGGCGUGUGGGCUAUAUGGCUCUAUGGCUAGACGGGGGAGAGAGUCGAGACGUAGAGAGAGGUGAUGUCCAUGUGUUUGUAUCUGUGUGUGUGGACUACCGACGGCGCGAGGUAGGGGGUGUUGGCUAGACACCGCUCAGACGGUCCAGCGGGACCAGGGGAUGGGUAGCGCCGGGACCAUUUAUUUGUAAAUAAUAAUAAAUGGUAUUAUUUUUUUAAAAUUUUGUUUUUUUAUAAUUCAAUUAAAUACUGACAUCAAUUAUUAAUAAAACAUUUCUAGCAAUAACGGAAUCUAUUUUUAUCUACUACGGUUUAAAUUUUUACUUUAUUUUUAGCGGUACCGAGUAUGGAUGCGCGAAUAAUCAGAAGAAUAUUCAAUUCAAUUAAUGGCGCGAAGGGUAACUUUUUUUUUGAGAUGCAGGUACGUGACAACGGGUCUUAUCGAACAAACAAUCAGACUUGGAGUAAUGCUUCAAUGCUAUUCAACGAGUUGUUUUAUUUUUAAAUUUAAAUAUUUAAAAUUUAUUUUCCGCGCAAUUUUACUCUAUCAGUAGGUGAUAUGAGUGUCUGAGUUGGAUACUUGGAAAAAUAAUUGCGACAUACUAAUGAAGAAAAGUAACGCGGAAGAGGCCAAAAAAAGCGAUAAAGUUUAUAUUAGUAAACAACUUACGACAGCAGACAGAUGUCAGGAUCUUGUGAGUUCUGAUAACACGAGGUAGUGAUUAAGGAGUUGAUAUGGAUUGAAAAGAAAGCUGAAAAAAAUUGGAAACGGUUUGAUCAUCUGUCUGGUGAAAAUGUCAAGAGGUUGGUUGAGGAAUACCUCGGUGAAUCGAGAGUCGGUGAGCUUAAGGAGAAAUUACUG